UUAUGGCCAUAUCAUGUUUAAACAUCGGUUCCUGUAAGAUCACCGAAGUUAAGUAACAUCGAGCCUGGUCAGUAUCAAAAUGGGUGACCACUUGGGAAUACCAGGUGCUGUAAG